rnacentral:rRNA from 1 species
AGUGAACGCUGGCGGUAGGCCUAACACAUGCAAGUCGAACGGCAGCACAGUAAGAGCUUGCUCUUACGGGUGGCGAGUGGCGGACGGGUGAGGAAUACAUCGGAAUCUACUUUUUCGUGGGGGAUAACGUAGGGAAACUUACGCUAAUACCGCAUACGACCUACGGGUGAAAGCAGGGGAUCUUCGGACCUUGCGCGAUUGAAUGAGCCGAUGUCGGAUUAGCUAGUUGGCGGGGUAAAGGCCCACCAAGGCGACGAUCCGUAGCUGGUCUGAGAGGAUGAUCGGCCACACUGGAACUGAGACACGGUCCAGACUCCUAAGGGAGGCAGCAGUGGGGAAUAUUGGACAAUGGGCGCAAGCCUGAUCCAGCCAUACCGCGUGGGUGAAGAAGGCCUUCGGGUUGUAAAGCCCUUUUGUUGGGAAAGAAAAGCAGCAGGUUAAUACCCCGCUGUUCUGACGGUACCCAAAGAAGAAGCACCGGCUAACUUCGU